AGUGUCAAGGGAUGGGAACCGAACCCACGACCUUCCGCUUACCGGGCAGAUGCCAUGACCACUAGGCCACAUGACC
rnacentral:tRNA from 1 species